AGAGUUUGAUCCUGGCUCAGAACGAACGCUGGCGGCAGGCCUAACACAUGCAAGUCGAGCGCCCCGCAAGGGGAGCGGCAGACGGGUGAGUAACGCGUGGGAAACUACCCUUUGGUACGGAACAACUCGGCGAAAGCUGAGCUAAUACCGUAUGUGUCCUUCGGGAGAAAGAUUUAUCGCCAAAGGAUGUGCCCGCGUCGGAUUAGCUAGUUGGUGGGGUAAACGGGCCCACCAAGGCGACGAUCCGUAGCUGGUCUGAGAGGAUGAUCAGCCACACUGGGACUGAGACACGGCCCAGACUCCUACGGGAGGCAGCAGUGGGAAUAUUGGACAAUGGGGCAACCCUGAUCCAGCCAUGCCGCGUGAGUGAUGAAGGCCUUAGGGUUGUAAAGCUCUUUCGCCCGCGAAGAUAAUGACUGUAGCGGGAGAAGAAGCCCCGGCUAACUUCGUG
rnacentral:rRNA from 1 species